AUACUUACCUAAAAACGUUACCGGAGCUCAUGUAUUCUUGGUGACCGAAUGGUUGUGGCCGCAUUGCACAGCGCGGUCGUGGCCAUUCGCCGGCUAUCUUAUGGGUAGUCCGGGUUUUCUAAUUUUUGCUUUCAUUCCCUUUUGCAGGGCA
rnacentral:snRNA from 1 species